UUUAGAACCAUCAUGAGCUUUUCUGGAACUGCAGUUGAGAGCUCCAUGAAUAAUUUCUGAUUGAUUAUAAAAUUAAAAGAAACAAAACCAAGUUCUCAUCAGUCGACACAGCAAAACAGCAGUCGGAUGGACCAAGACAGCUGGGAUCACAAGACGGCUCCCAGACCAUUUGGAUUCAACAGAGUGCUCUAGCACAGAAUUUUGAAAGCCUCGCUCCGCCUCUCUCUGAUUUGGCUGAGCAGUACAGAAACCAGAUUAAACGUGGGUAGUCUGAGUUACCCAGAGAGAA